rnacentral:rRNA from 1 species
GGAACGAACGCUGGCGGCAUGCCUAAUACAUGCAAGUCGAACGAAGGCUUCGGCCUUAGUGGCGCACGGGUGCGUAACGCGUGGGAAUCUGCCCCUUGGUUCGGAAUAACAGUUGGAAACGACUGCUAAUACCGGAUGAUGACGAAAGUCCAAAGAUUUAUCGCCAAGGGAUGAGCCCGCGUAGGAUUAGCUAGUUGGUGAGGUAAAGGCUCACCAAGGCGACGAUCCUUAGCUGGUCUGAGAGGAUGAUCAGCCACACUGGGACUGAGACACGGCCCAGACUCCUACGGGAGGCAGCAGUAGGGAAUAUUGGACAAUGGGCGAAAGCCUGAUCCAGCAAUGCCGCGUGAGUGAUGAAGGCCUUAGGGUUGUAAAGCUCUUUUACCCGAGAUGAUAAUGACAGUAUCGGGAGAAUAAGCCCCGGCUAACGUCCGCGCCAGCCAGCCGC